rnacentral:rRNA from 1 species
CGUGGAUAACCUACCUAUAAGACUGGGAUAACUUCGGGAAACCGGAGCUAAUACCGGAUAAUAUUUUGAACCGCAUGGUUCAAAAGUGAAAGACGGUCUUGCUGUCACUUAUAGAUGGAUCUGCGCUGCAUUAGCUAGUUUGUAAUGUAACGGCUUACCAAGGCAACGAUGCAUAGCCGACCUGAGAGGGUGAUCGGCCACACUGGAACUGAGACACGGUCCAG